rnacentral:rRNA from 1 species
AGCGUAUAUUAAAGUUGUUGCAGUUAAAAAGCUCGUAGUUGAAUUUCGGGAUCAAUUAGUCGGUCGUGCCUCUGGUACGUACUGGUUUUAUUGGUUCCUCCCUUCUGACGAAACAUGAUGUCAUUAAUUUGGUGUCGUGGAGAAUCAGGACUGUUACCUUGAAAAAAUUAGAGUGUUUAUAGCAGGCUAACGCUUGAAUACAUUAGCAUGGAAUAAUGAAAUAGGACGUUCGACCCUAUUUUGCUGGUUUCUAGGAUCGACGUAAUGAUUAAUAGGGAUAGUUGGGGGCAUUAGUAUUCAAUUGUCAGAGGUGAAAUUCUUGGAUUUAUUGAAGACUAACUACUGCGAAAGCAUUUGCCAAGGAUGUUUUCAUUAAUCAAGAACGAAAGUUAGGGGAUCGAAGACGAUCAGAUACCGUCGUAGUCUUAACCAUAAACUAUGCCGACUAGGGAUCGGAUGAUGUUAAUUUUUUAAUGACUCAUUC